rnacentral:rRNA from 11 species
UCCGUUGGUGAACCAGCGGAAGGAUCAUUG